UAGAACUUUCUUCCUAUGUCUCGCUAAAUUCUAACCCUAAUUUGUCGCCUCCUUCGUCAACUCCGACUAUUCUCUCAACUCAAAUUGUAGCCCUAAUUCCUCGCCUCCUUCGUCAACUGCGACUAUUCUCUCAACUCUUCCUUCUAUACUUCUCAUCUGUUGAAUGCCCAAUCCGUCUGCUCCGUACUUGUUCUUCUUUGUCUGCACAAUUUAAAUCUGUCUCUCAAGCUUUCCUGAAGACCGCUCUUUGUUUCCGACGACCUGCGCAGCUGCUUGUUCAUGCUUUAAGUUUCUGUCCUUCUUGAGAGUUCAAAUCUGUCGGUGAAGCUUUCGUCAACAUUUGUCUUUGUUUCCGAAAACCUGCGCAACUAUUUCUUCGUCGUUUAAGUUAAAUUUACAGGAUGCUACUGUAUUACCUGCUCUACAGUGUUCUUCUGAUGUUACCUGCUUCAAUUGAUUUCAUCAAUAGGUAAUUGCCUGCAACUCAGCGCUACAAAUACCACUGAUACAGCAGAGUCUGCUGGCUUCACACCAACCUUCUCAGUAUCACCACCUUAAACGCUAGCCACUCCACCAGAUUCAGACACAUCGCAUACGUGAUCGCAGUUUAAUCAAGAUGUGAUCAGACCAAUCACUACUUACCAUCGCACGUCCUCUGUUGAAAAUUGAAAUUUUAAAAUCAAAGGACAAACAAGUUCCCAGUUUGUUCAUCCAAAAGUACCUGAUGAAGAAGUUGAAUCUUUCUUACAAAAAUGAGGUAAUUAACUUCUUGUAUUUUUGGCAAUUUAGUAAUCAAUAAAUAUGAUUAACAUUUAUUUACAAUCCUACCUAUUGUGAUUUAAGUGCUGAAAAAUUAUGUAGGAGCAUGAAUUCCUGUAGUUUAUUAUUCUGUUAGAUGUAGUGUGGUCCUUGUACUUUUAGGACUUAGUUUUCCAUGCCAAAAUA